AUGCAGUCGAACGGGGGUUAGUCUUCGGACUUAACUCUAGUGGCGGACGGGUGAGUACGCGUGGGCAACCUGCCUCGGACAGGGGAAUAACCCUGAGAAAUAUGGCUAAGACCUCAUAAGCUCCCGGUGUCGCAUGACACAGAGAGAAAAGAUUUAUCGGUUCGAGAGGGGCCCGCGGCUGAUUAGCUAGUUGGAGAGGUAACGGCUCACCAAGGCGACGAUCAGUAGCCGACCUGAGAGGGUGAUCGGCCACAUUGGGACUGAGACACGGCCCAAACUCCUACGGGAGGCAGCAGUGGGGAAUAUUGCGCAAUGGAGGAAACUCUGACGCAGCAACGCCGCGUGAAGGAAGAAGGUUUUCGGAUCGUAAACUUCAAUCCACAGGGAAGAAACAAAUGACGGUACCUGGGGGGAAGCCCCGGCUAACUACGUGCCAGCAGCCGCGGUAAUACGUAGGGGGCAAGCGUUAUCCGGAAUUACUGGGUGUAAAGGGUGAGUAGGCGG
rnacentral:rRNA from 2 species